rnacentral:lncRNA from 1 species
CCUAGACCAUAAUUCCUAGGCCCAUACCCCUAACCUAAUCCCUACCCCUAUAUAAUAGCACCUAAUACCUAAAUAUAGACCCUAGACACAUUUUUUGGGAUCCGUCGUUUUUCCAUGGAGCUGGGACGAAAACAGAUUUAGAGAAAGAGCUAAGGAACAUUUUUUUUUACAAAAAUGAAAGGCUGAAGGUCUUCAUCUUCUUCAUGGACCCUAAACUCUAAGACUUAGAUCUAUAGGGAUCCAAUCAGUGCCGUUUUCAUCUUGGAGCUAAGGGUAGAGACCAAAAGAAUUCUCCACCAGCUGCUUCUUCAAUCAGCCGCAAAAAAUGACCCCACUCCAUCGAUUCAUCUGUUUCCAAAAAACAACAUGCCGUGAACUCUUUUUCCUUCGAGUUCCAGUUGCAUUCCAGUGAUGAAUUUCAAUCCGGUCGAGGCCCUGGUUUCCAGUUGGUUGUCCAGUUAAAGAACCUUUAAAGAUUCAAGCCUUUGAGGUGCAUUCUUUUAUCUUGCUUCUUGUUUAAUGCGUGCACUUUGAUGCCUCAGCUAUUUCAAUAAAAGGAUGCUUUUCAUGUUGAUGAGUUCUCAUAUGUUUCCUUCACUGUUUGUAUUAUGUUAAUAGUUCUUUUAGAAAUCAUCAUGGUUUUUUGUCUAGCCUUAAUUCACUAGUUUGAUAUACCUUCUUUUAAUGUUAUGAACGUGAUGUUUAAUUGAGCAAUUGGUGUCAAAAGAGAUGUUAAGAAUUGAUAUAGUUGGAUAAUCUGGGAUUUUUUUUUAAAAGAACUGAAUAGCAUUUGUUAAUGUGGAUCGAGAUUUAAAAGUUAGAUUUGGGUUGAAAUUUAGAAAUUAAAAGACAACAAAAAGAAAUAUUCUUGUUACUUGUAUUUUAUUUCGUUUAAUUGGUCCGUUAGUAUCAUACUUAGGCCAUUAAUAAUUAUGAACAUUCGUAGUUUGCUUUAGUUGAGUACAAUCCUUUGAAGUUAGAAUCGGGGUGUGUCAUUAGUUGAAUUUUCCAUGGCCCUUGCAAACUUGAAAGCGCAUAGCUGCUUUAGGCGCGCUAUUUUAAAAAUUACUUCCCUAAACUCGAGUGUGCAUUUAUGUGGCCCAAAUCCAAAUCUCAACAAUGCUAGAUGAAGUAUGUCGUGGACCACGGGUGCAUUUAUGUGACGUGGUUCAAGACGUGUUUUAGAUGACGUUGAAUCUUUCCUAAAAAUAAUUAAAUAAAAGCGGUUAUAAAAUUGAAAUUGAAUCAUAGGCUAAAACAUGUAUUAAAAUCAGAUAAUAGGCCAAUUGUAACAGUUGAACGACCGUGCUAGAACCACGGAACUCGGGAAUACCAAAUACCUUCUCCCGGGUUAACAGAAUUCCUUACCCGAAUUUUUGUGUUCGCGAACUGUAAUACAGAGUCAAUCUUUUCCUCGAUUCGGGAUUUGAACCGGUGACUUGGGACGCCAUAAAAUUAUCCCAAGUGGCGACUUUGAAUUUAAUAAAUAAAUAAUCACGUUUCGAUUGUCACUUUAAGUUGGAAAGAACUCCCUUAUAUACUCCUUUUCCGGGGGUGUAGGUAAAAAGGAGGUGUGACACCUGUUGUGCCUCGUUAAAGAGAAUUAACAUGCCCACCUCGUUCAUCUUUGUCUGGCCCUCCUCGGUCACCAGGCAUCGGAGGUAGCUGGCUACACCUACUGGAGAAGACAAAAUCCAGGCAUCCUCCGGGACUAUAAGAAAAACCAUCCUCUUGCGCUCAGGGUCCACGCUCGAUGCAGGAAUUGCUUCACCAAUCUUGGGUUCGUACUCGGCCCGUCAGCUCCCGAAGGCACGUCGUUCUUCGGUAUCUCCAGGUGACCCAGCCCGGAAAAAUCUUCCAAUGUGGACAUGUCCAUUCCAUCGAAGAAGGAGUGAGAGGAUCAUCCACAUCCUAAACUCCUUCACCUGACUUUUACUUUCCCGCUUGGGCCUCUUCGAGCAUGGAUUCAGUAUAGGAGGGCAUCUUGAUGAUGUCUAUCACACCGGUCGCCUUCUUUAGAAUAGGAACGGCUUUUCAGGAGGUCAUAGCCUCUGUCUCCACUUCGGCCUCUCGAAUCUGAAGGGGAUCAGCCUCUCGAAUCUGAAAGGGAUCGGCCUUGUGGCCCCUUUCCUCGAUCGUCGCCUGCUCCCAGACAGGGGUUGAUCCAUGGGCGACAAAGAUGUUGUCUUCUUUGAGCUCAUCCCUAGACUGGUGAAGCAAGUUUAUGUCCGAUAAAUGGGGACUUACUAUUCUUCUUGGUCUUAUGAGCCUGGGUGGCUUCCCUAUUUUUUAUCUUCACCUCGGAAUCCGGAGAACCUAAGGACUUUCUUUUCCUCUUCUUCUCCGCGGCAGCCCCGGGCUAUCCCGAAACGGAGGGUUCGAUGGGUAAGGACGUAUUUUUGUCGCCAUCUAGUGGCGUAAGUUCGGUGGUCUUAGGAAAACCUACGAGGGAAAGGAGAAGGUCAGCAUUGUGUAAGCUUGGGGCGUAACCAUAACUAUUCAGAUAAGAGCCUUACCGUGAGAACAAGCCUCCCAUUUGCCCUUCAAAAGUUUGUGCCACAUGCGCUCGUAGUAUGUUAUCUGCUUACAGAUUCCAUCGAUCCACUCCUUGAUCCGAGAGACCGUAUUAGGAACCCAGGCAACGGUUGCACGACCAUAAAUACUGGUGAUGAGAGAAGAAAUGAAGGGAAAUUAAUGCUUAAGGAAAGACUACACUUACGAGAUGCGUUCCACUUCUCGGGGAAUGGAAGGAACUAGGGAGGGACCAGGUCUUCAAUUUUGACCCGUACAAAAUGCCCUUACUAACCUCGGCCUCGAUCUUCGUCGACGCUCGAAAAAAGGGCCUUGUUGGCUCAGCAAACAAGUUUGGUUAGGCCCCCUCAAAAAAUUUAGGGACUGUACAUACGGAGUAGGUGGUUGAGGGUGAACCGAGGAGAUUCAGUGUUUUUCACAAAAUGGAGAAAGAGGAUCACGAUCCUCUAGAGGGACGGGUGGAUUUGCCCGAGGCACACCUCGUAUCUCUUACAAGAGGCCAGAAUUACUAGGUCUACCAGGCUCAAUGUGAAUGGGUAAGUAUAAAUACUUAAAUACCCUUCCACGUGGGUAGUGAUAUCUUCCUUAGGCCCGGGGACAACCACAUCCUUGCCUUCCCAUUUACAGUCCUCUUGUACCAUGGGAAGGGUGUCUUCAGCAAUGGAGCAUAUGUAUCUCCAUGCUCCUUCGCCUUGAUCUUGUUUAACGGAGGCCUUCUCGGCCUUGAAAUCAUCUCCGAUAGAACAGCCCCCGAGUAUGAAGUUUUUCAUGGGAGGCUCUAGAAGCACCUCGAGGGCAUCCACCUCAACAUCUGUAGCCGGGUAGGAAGAUGAAGGGGUCGUUUGUUGUGGUACAGACUUGGAAGUUUUGUCCUUCAUGAAUUUGGGAAAGUAUAUGAAGAUUUGAAGAAGGCGUAUGAAGAUUUGAAGGUUAGAAAUGAAUAUAUGAAGUUUUGGGUUGAAAAUCCAAGAAAAAACGUGAAGGUUUGAAGGUUAGAGAUGAAGAUGUAGAGGUUCAAGAAGCGAGGUAUGAAGAUUUGAGAAAGUUGAAAGCCUUUAUAAAGUUCGAAGGUAAGCGUUAGGAUGAGAAAGUGAAAAAAGUGAAGAGGGUCGAAGCUUUUAUAGGAGAAAAUGCAAUCAUCAUUCGAUGUUUCGUAUCGAAGACAGCCUAUCAAUGAUUGACAUGUGUCCGAAGUCAGAACGAUACGACUGACGGGACGUUUCGGCUUGUCUGUCACCUCGGUUGAAAUGUACGAAGGAAGGAACUGGGGUUCAUCUGUCGUUUUCCAUCGUUUCGGCAAACCUGUUCCCUGGAAAAUGAGGGGACUAUCCGUAUACGGCUGAAAUCGGGGUUAAUGCACACACCGAUUUCCCAGUGGAUCAAACGAGGUAAGAGUAUGAAUAAAUGAGAUCGAAAUUGAAGCUGGGAACUCUUUGUAUCUAGUACCGAAUGGAGUGCUCACCAUCGGACCUGAUGAGACAAUACUCCCGAACUUAGAACGAGCCCCGAGACCUCAGAAAACAUGGCAACGGCUGCGCACGACUAACAGAGAACCGUGAUAUCUGCACCCAAUCGGAUAUCACGGCACAGAUCUCGCCCGAUAUCGGAAACAAAUCAGUGAUUAACGAGAAAGGAGGAUUUUUACCUUUUUACAAUUGUACUAGGGAUGAAACUCUCCUACUAUAUAAAGGGAAAGUUUUUUAUUUAAUAGAACACAUUGUAACACGCAAACCAAAGAAUAGAAAUUCAUUUUCUCUGCUUUCUAGUUAUUGCAAAGUUCUUAUUUUAUUAUUGUUCUUCAUAUACAAUUGGCUUCGAAUCGAGGGUCCGAUCGAGGGCGAAACUACUGUUCAGCCUGAAUUCAAGCCCGGCCGUAACAUCACAAUUGAUUUGAUUAUUCAUCUUAUCUUUAACUCGCUUAUCUAACAUUAUUGAUUAUUUGUAUUGAAUCAAUCCACAUAUCCUUAAAAUUACGUACAAAUUUAAUUGUUAUCCGUUUUAAGGGUAAACAAUCUCAAACCGGAGGAGAACAGAUAAUAAUUGCCUUUACGGUUGAUGUUUUCCAUGGAAGGCUGCUAUUUUAUUAGUGCUCAAGAUGGUCUUCAAAUUACCUGUAUAUAGUGGUUAUAGAAUAGUCACGACUUAUGCAAUUUAGACGAGUGAUAUCUAUCACGGUGGCCACAAUACCUCCUUAAUGCCUACAAGACCUUUUAGAAA